rnacentral:rRNA from 1 species
GAUGAACGCUGGCGGCGUGCCUAAUACAUGCAAGUCGAGCGAACAGACGAGGAGCUUGCUCCUCUGACGUUAGCGGCGGACGGGUGAGUAACACGUGGAUAACCUACCUAUAAGACUGGGAUAACUUCGGGAAACCGGAGCUAAUACCGGAUAAUAUAUUGAACCGCAUGGUUCAAUAGUGAAAGACGGUUUUGCUGUCACUUAUAGAUGGAUCCGCGCCGCAUUAGCUAGUUGGUAAGGUAACGGCUUACCAAGGCAACGAUGCGUAGCCGACCUGAGAGGGUGAUCGGCCACACUGGAACUGAGACACGGUCCAGACUCCUACGGGAGGCAGCAGUAGGGAAUCUUCCGCAAUGGGCGAAAGCCUGACGGAGCAACGCCGCGUGAGUGAUGAAGGUCUUCGGAUCGUAAAACUCUGUUAUUAGGGAAGAACAAAUGUGUAAGUAACGAUGCACGUCUGGACGGUACCUAAGCAGAAAACCACGGCUAACUACGU